rnacentral:rRNA from 1 species
UUCUGGGAGGAUUGACAGAUUGAGAGCUCUUUCUUGAUUCGGUGCAUGGUGGUGCAUGGCCGUUCUUAGUUGGUGGAGCUAUUUGUCUGGUUAAUUCUGAUUACGAACGAGACUCUAGCCUAUUAAAUAGGUGCGUGGUUCUCUGCACAUUGCAACCUUCUUAGAGGGACAUGCGGCUCCUAGCCGCACGAAACUGAGGAAUAACAGGUCUGUGAUGCCUUUAGAU